CCUCUCUCCCUUCUCCAGGAGUCCAGAGAUUCAUAAGAGCCAUUCGUUUAAUAAUUCUAUGUAGUUUAUGUCUAGCGUGUGUAGUACACACACACACACACACAAACAGGCAAGGCUCAGAUUUAGUUAGUCCUGGUUGGUUCCAACAGGAAGCUGCCGCAACACGUUGGAGUUAUCAAUAUUCUGUUGGUGACGAGUCAGAGGAAACGAGGGAAGACGAGAAGGGGGGAAAAAAGACGUGGAGAGGGAGGAGGAACGAGGCUCGAACACUGUGCGCAAGUGUGCAAGGCAGAAAAGCAAGCGAGUGAGCGAGCAAGCGAGAGAGAGAGAGAGAGAGAAACAGCACUGAUGAUCGACGCCAGGCUGCCACCACUCUGUAGUGGUGAGUGGCUGCAACAAAAGCACAGAAUAACAUCCCUGGCUUUUCGCUCGUCUUUUCUCUCUGCCACUGGCUGCCUGCGUCGUUAGCCGGCUGCUCGGAACGCCCAGAGCCUAUAGGAGAAGAGCAGCACGCUGAUCGCUGCAGUAGGCUGUGUUGCCACCACGGACCGACUAACCCAACGGCUCUCUGCCUGACAUCAACAAGUUAGGGACUGGACGGUUAAGGGAAGGAGAGGACCCACCCCCAACUAAGAGGGGCACCAUUUGAUCCUCAAUUAACCAAUUGAGCUGACAUCAUUGCAGUGGAAGACGAAAGAGAACGAAGGGAACAAAAAAUAAAAAAGGAGGGGGGGGGUGAAACAGCAGCGAGCGGCUGCAUUCCCAGGGCGCUUUGGAUGCAAAUCAAAAAAAAAAAAUAACUAUUGAUAAAAUAAAAAUGCACCUUUUUUUGCUAAUGUGGGAUUAAAACUACAUAAGGAAAGAGGACAAAUAGAAAGCGACAACAUCGACAUGGGAUUUGUGAUUUUGUUUCAAUUGGGAGGGCUCCAGAGCGUCGCUGCCACUUUCUUAUUUCAGGAAGAGAAGAGCCCGGUUCCUUUUGUGAUUUCUACUCAAAAGGGCUUUUCUUUCCUCCCUUUGGAUUUGUGUUCCUUCUGGCUGCUUCGGGAGUCCGCUGUAGAAAAGGACAGUUGAAUGCAGCCUCCGACGUGCACAAAAGAAUGGGUUUCCAUUCAAGGUGGCCAUUGGUGGGACCUGCACCAGCGGCAUUGUGCCUGUGUGUGAUCAGCAUGCUGCUGUGCCUGCUGUCUCCUGCGUCAUGCACAACCUGCCCCCAGAAAUGCCGCUGCGAGGACCAGCAGUUCUACUGCGACACUCAGGGGCUGGAGGCACCCCCGGAUGGCGUUGACCGGGGGGCUCUGGGGUUGUCGCUCCGCCACAACAGCAUCGCUGAACUGAGCCCGGACCAGUUCUAUGGCUUCUCCCAGCUCACCUGGCUUCACCUGGACCACAACCAGGUCACCGCGGUGCAGGAGGACGCCUUCCAGGGUCUCUAUAAACUCAAAGACCUCAACCUGAGCUCCAACCGGAUCACAACGCUACCAAACACAACCUUCAUCCACCUCAUCAACCUACAGAUCCUGGACCUGUCCUUCAACCUGAUGACUGCGCUGGAGCCUGAGCUGUUCCAUGGCCUUCGCAAACUGCAGAUCCUCCACCUGCGCUCCAACUCGCUGCGCACCACCCCCGUCCGGGCCUUCUGGGACUGCCGCAGCCUUGAGUACCUGGGUCUGUCCAAUAACCGGCUGCGGAGCCUGGCCCGGAACGGCUUCGCUGGCCUCAUUAAGCUCAGAGAACUCCACUUGGAACACAACCAGCUGACUAAGAUCAACCUGGCUCACUUCCCCCGCCUGGUGGCUUUGCAAUUCCUUUACCUGCAGUGGAACAAGAUCUCCAACCUGACCUGCGGUAUGGAGUGGACCUGGACCACGCUGGAGAAGAUGGACCUCACGGGGAACGAGAUCCGGGUGCUGACCCCGGACGUGUUCGAGACGCUGCCCAACCUGAAGAUCCUCCUACUGGAUAACAACAAGCUAGGCAGCAUGGACCCUCUGGUCUUGGAUAUGUGGCGGUCUCUAGGUACCGUGGGGCUCUCCAGCAACCUUUGGGAUUGUACCAAACGUAUCUGCUCCCUGGCCACUUGGCUCAGCACCUUCAAGGGGAGGUGGGAACACUCCAUCCUGUGUCACACCCCCGAGUACGCCCAGGGCGAGGAGAUACUGGACGCCGUUUAUGGAUUCCAACUUUGUCUGAAUUUUACAGCGGCGCCACCUGUCGUCAUGACCACAAGCACUUUGUCAAUGGUCACGGACACGCCAACAGGCACGACGGCGGAGGUCACAAGCUUCCUAUUCGGAGUAAUGAAGCAGACACCCACGCAGAACUUCUAUGGGGAUUUUGGGCGCUUUACGACCGUAACGACAACGACCGCCGCGCCGCGCACCGCCCUGGCAACCACAGUGGAGGGCGGGAGUGGAGCGGUGGGACCCCCGGAGGACUUCUCGGAGACGGACAACACGGUCCUAACCCAGAGGGUGAUCAUUGGAACGAUGGUCCUUCUGUUUACCUUCUUCCUCGUCAUUUUCGUUGUGUUCAUCUCACGGAAGUGCUGCCCUCCUACCAUGCGCAGGAUACGCCAGUGCACGGCCAUGCAGAACCGCCGCCAGAUGAGGACCCAGCAGCGGCAGCAAAUGGCGGACCUGGCCACGCAGGUACCCUAUAACGAGUACGAGCCCAGCCACGAGGAGGGAGCGCUGGUUAUCAUCAACGGCUACGGGCAGUGCAAGUGUCAACAGCUGCCUUACAAAGAGUGUGAAGUGUAAACUAUGUAUUCCUCCUGCAGCAGCAUAUGGGCUGUUUACCAUUCUGACCAUUUCAAACAAUACAGGGUUUGUUUUUUGCUUCCCCCCCCCAGUUUAUACAACAAAAAAAGCAAACUUUCUACUCGCUAGCUCUGAGAAAUCAAUGCGAUAAGUACAUUGAGUGGGAGAGUUGAUGACUGGUGGGUGGAACGGAGAGUGAAGAGACUGAUGAUGAGGAUGCAGUAGGAAUAGUCACAUUUAUUUUUAUAUGAAUGGAAGAUUGUCCAUAUCAAGCUGUGGGCAAUCGGUCUCCACAGGGAAAAAAAAAACACGGUAGACAGGUUUGUCACCACAUUACUAUCAGUCACUAUGUUCCACAGCACAGAGGAGAUGAAAUCUUUAGCCAAGAUGUCUGGAGACUAAUCCCUCUUACUACGAGACGGGCUGGGACAACAACUAGGAGAGAGGACAACAACGAGGAGAGAGGAUAACGUCCCCUUAGGGCUGGGACAACAACGAGGAGAGAAGAUAACGUCCCCUUAGGGCUGGGACAACAACGAGGAGAGAAGAUAACGUCCCCUUAGGGCUGGGACAACAACGAGGAGAGAAGAUAACGUCCCCUUAGGGCUGGGACAACAACGAGGAGAGAAGAUAACGUCCCCUUAGGGCUGGGACAACAACGAGGAGAGAAGAUAACGUCCCCUUAGGGCUGGGACAACAACGAGGAGAGAAGAUAACCACCCCUUAGGGCUGGGACAACAACGAGGAGAGAAGAUAACCACCCCUUAGGGCUGGGACAACAACGAGGAGAGAAGAUAACGUCCCCUUAGGGCUGGGACAACAACGAGGAGAGAAGAUAACGUCCCCUUAGGGCUGGGACAACAACGAGGAGAGAAGAUAACGUCCCCUUAGGGCUGGGACAACAACGAGGAGAGAAGAUAACGUCCCCUUAGGGCUGGGACAACAACGAGGAGAGAGGAUAACGUCCCCUUAGGGCUGGGACAACAACGAGGAGAGAGGAUAAUGUCCCCUUAGGGCUGGGACAACAACGAGGAGAGAAGAUAACGUCCCCUUAGGGCUGGGACAACAACGAGGAGAGAAGAUAACGUCCCCUUAGGGCUGGGACAACAACGAGGAGAGAAGAUAACGUCCCCUUAGGGCUGGGACAACAACGAGGAGAGAAGAUAACGUCCCCUUAGGGCUGGGACAACAACGAGGAGAGAAGAUAACGUCCCCUUAGGGCUGGGACAACAACGAGGAGAGAAGAUAACGUCCCCUUAGGGCUGGGACAACAACGAGGAGAGAGGAUAACGUCCCCUUAGGGCUGGGACAACAACGAGGAGAGAGGAUAAUGUCCCCUUAGGGCUGGGACAACAACGAGGAGAGAAGAUAACGUCCCCUUAGGGCUGGGACAACAACGAGGAGAGAAGAUAACGUCCCCUUAGGGCUGGGACAACAACGAGGAGAGAAGAUAACGUCCCCUUAGGGCUGGGACAACAACGAGGAGAGAGGGGAGUAAAACAUCACCUUGGCAAUGUCACCUCCUAGAAAAACUCAAAUCAAAACAAAAAUAAAGCAAGCGGGAGAAAGUUAAGUAUGAAAGGAAUUGGCACUGGCUCAGACUCCCCGUUUGUCAUGCAGAUUUUAGCCAAGUUCUAUUAGAUAAGAGAAAGGGUGUUUUUGAAGUCCUCCAUCUACAAAGAUGUGGAAAUGCUUUAGAAUAGACAGAGAGAGACUCUUGAUUGAAGUGACUGGGGUGGGAUAGGAGGAGAGGAAGGAUGGCCCCCAAGAGGGCGCUAUGAAGUGUCAUCGGUGUUGAAACAGACUUCUGACGGAGCCAAGCUAAUAGGCAAACCCAAGGAUUUUUCAAAAGCAGUGCAUAAUAAAGGCAAUAAUUUGCCAUUUGGGAUGCAGUUCUAUACGCUGUCAGUGACGUGGGUCUCCCUAGGAGUCCUAUACGCUGUCAACAGUGACGUGGGUCUCCCUAGGAGUCCUAUACGCUGUCAACAGUGACGUGGGUCUCCCUAGGAGUCCUAUACACUGUCAACAGUGACGUGGGUCUCCCUAGGAGUCCUAUACGCUGUCAGUGACCUGGUCUCCCUAGGAGUCCUAUACGCUGUCAACAGUGACCUGGUCUCCCUAGGAGUCCUAUACGCUGUCAACAGUGACGUGGGUCUCCCUAGGAGUCCUAUACGCUGUCAACAGUGCCGUGGGUCUCCCUAGGAGUCCUAUACGCUGUCAAGUGACCUGGUCUCACUAGGAGUCCUAUACGCUGUCAACAGUGACGUGGGUCUCCCUAGGAGUCCUAUACGCUGUCAACAGUGACGUGGGUCUCCCUAGGAGACCUAUAUGCUGUCAACAGUGACGAGGUCUCCCUAGGAGUCCUAUACGCUGUCAACAGUGACCUGGUCUCACUAGGAGUCCUAUACGCUGUCAACAGUGACGUGGGUCUCCCUAGGAGUCCU